UGAGUAACCUGCCCUUCACUCUGGGAUAACUCCGGGAAACCGGGGCUAAUACUGGAUAUGACUCGAACAGGCAUCUGUUUCGGGUGGAAAGAUUUAUUGGUGGAGGAUGGACUCGCGGCCUAUCAGCUAGUUGGUGUGGGUAAUGGCCCACCAAGGCGACGACGGGUAGCCGGCCUGAGAGGGUGACCGGGCCACACUGGGACUGAGACACGGCCCAGACUCCUACGGGAGGCA
rnacentral:rRNA from 1 species